AAGCGGCAAGAGCUCAUAUUUGAAAGCUGGCUCCUUCGGGGUCCGCAUUGUAAUUUGCAGAGGAUGCUUCGGGAGCGGUCCCCAUCUAAGUGCCCUGGAACGGGACGUCAUAGAGGGUGAGAAUCCCGUAUGGGAUGGGGUGUCCGCGCCCGUGUGAAGCUCCUUCGACGAGUCGAGUUGUUUGGGAAUGCAGCUCUAAAUGGGUGGUAAAUUUCAUCUAAAGCUAAAUAUUGGCCGGAGACCGAUAGCGCACAAGUAGAGUGAUCGAAAGAUGAAAAGCACUUUGAAAAGAGAGUUAAAAAGCACGUGAAAUUGUUGAAAGGGAAGCGCUUGCGACCAGACUCGCUCGCGGGGUUCAGCCGGCAUUCGUGCCGGUGUAUUUCCCCGCGGGCGGGCCAGCGUCGGUUUGGGCGGUCGGUCAAAGGCCCUCGGAAGGUAACGCCCCUAGGGGCGUCUUAUAGCCGAGGGUGCAAUGCGACCUGCCUAGACCGAGGAACG
rnacentral:rRNA from 1 species